GACGAACCGUGCGAACGUUGUUCGGAAUCACUGGGCUUAAAGGGUGCGUAGGCGGAAUGUCAAGUCUGUGGUGAAAUCCCCCGGCUCAACCGGGGAACUGCCGUGGAUACUGGUGUUCUCGAGGGGUGUAGGGGCAUGCGGAACUUCGGGUGGAGCGGUGAAAUGCGUAGAUAUCCGAAGGAACGCCGGUGGCGAAAGCGGCGUGCUGGACACCUUCUGACGCUGAGGCACGAAAGCCAGGGGAGCAAACGGG
rnacentral:rRNA from 1 species